CGCCAUUUUGAAUGAUGAAAAAUGUGUUGGUAGGGACAUCUGAGUGAUAAUGAUGAAACGCCAACCUUUCUGACGUCGCAUGGCG